rnacentral:lncRNA from 1 species
AGAAACUGAAAAAAAGAAAAAGAACAGUGAAGAAAAACGAAAAAGAAAAAAACGAAUAUACCUCUCAAAUCCCUUUUUUUUUUGUAUUCAAUCUCUCUAUGUAUUGAUAUUGUGUGUAGAGAAAAAAGAAACUUUUACAGAUUUGAAUGGCCUUUUUUAUAGCCAAAAAUGAAAAAUGAAAAUAAAAUACAAUCAAAAUCCUCUAUUUCC